ACGCUCGACACCUACGGGGGGCAGCAGUGGGGAAUAUUGCACAAUGGGGGAAACCCUGAUGCAGCGACGCCGCGUGGAGGAAGAAGGUCUUCGGAUUGUAAACUCCUGUUGUUGGGGAAAAAGAGGAUGGUACCCAACAAGGAAGUGACGGCUAACUACGUGCCAGCAGCCACGGUAAUCUGAGCGGGCUGGCAAGGC
rnacentral:rRNA from 1 species